GUGACCUACAGUCCCACUUGAGUCACAGAUCUGCAGGCGCCCCUCCUCUGGUCCAGCACUCCAUCCUACACCACCAUCCAGCAUCAGACGGAGAGCAGCCCUUCGACACACUGAGCCUGGAGAGCUCAGACAGUAUGGACACCAGUGUGUCCACAGGCAACAACUCCGCCUGCUCGCCAGAUAAUUUGUCCAGUGUUGGAGGAACGGACGCGCUGAAGAUGGAAGAGAUGGAGAAAAUGCUGAAGGAGGCACAGAUGGAGAAAGCCAGACUUAUUGAGUUUCGGGAACAGGAGAGCUUCGCU